rnacentral:lncRNA from 10 species
GAGUGAGGCAAUGCCUCGCCCUGCUUCGGCUCGCGCACGGUGCGCGCACCCACUGGCCUGCGCCCACUGUCUGGCACUCCCUAGUGAGAUGAACCCGGUACCUCAGAUGGAAAUGCAGAAAUCACCCGUCUUCUGCGUCGCUCACGCUGGGAGCUGUAGAGCGGAGCUGUUCCUAUUCGGCCAUCUUGGCUCCUCCGGCUUACAUUCUUGCUUUCAGACUUGAACUGAAUUAUACCACCAACUUUCCUGAUUUCCCAGUUUGCCAACAGCACAUCACAGGACUUCUCAGCCUCCACAACAUUGAAAUUAACUGUUCACUAAGAAGCAGAAUGAUCUUCACUGGAACAACGAAACAACGGAUGAUCUGCCUUUAAUAGGAUAAAAGCCAGUAUUUGCAAAUAUAAAAUACUAUUUUGAGAUCCUUGUGGAGUUCAUUUUUGUGUAUGGUCAGAGGUUAUUGUCAGUGUUCAUUUUUUGCCAUAUAGAUACCUGGUUGUUCUACCAUUUGAUGAAAGGUAUUAUCAUGUCCCCAUUGAAUUACCAUGACACUUUGUCAAAUAUCACUUGACCCUAUGUAUGAAGGUAUAUUUCUGGCCUCUGUUUUGUUCCAUUGAUCUUAUGUGUAUCACUGUGCCAAUAUAACCCUACCUUGAUUACUGAAUCUUUACAGUAUAUCUUGAUAUCGUCUAGGGUAAGUGAUCUAAAUGUAUACUUUUGUUUCUAAGUAUUUUUGACUUUGGUUCUUUGAGUUCUCCAUAUAC